GACGGGUGAGUAACACGUAGGAAUCUGCCUAGUAGUGGGGGAUAACUUGGGGAAACUCAAGCUAAUACCGCAUACGCUCUACGGAGGAAAGCGGGGGAUCUUCGGACCUCGCGCUAUUAGAUGAGCCUGCGUCCGAUUAGCUAGUUGGUGGGGUAAAGGCCCACCAGAGAGACGAUCGGUAGCUGGUCUGAGAGGACGAUCAGCCACACUGGACUCUGAGACACGGGACUGACUCUACGUGAGUCCAGCAGUGGGGA
rnacentral:rRNA from 1 species